GUGCCAGCCGCCGCGGUAAUACGGAGGGUGCAAGCGUUGUCCGGAUUUAUUGGGUUUAAAGGGUGCGUAGGCGGCUAUUUAAGUCAGUGGUGAAAUCCUGCAGCUUAACUGUAGAACAGCCAUUGAUACUGGAUAGCUUGAGUACAGACGAGGUAGGCGGAAUUUAUGGUGUAGCGGUGAAAUGCAUAGAUACCAUAAAGAACCCCUAUUGCGAAGGCAGCUUACUAGGCUGUAACUGACGCUGAGGCACGAAAGCGUGGGGAUCAAACAGGAUUAGAAACCCGAGUAGUCC
rnacentral:rRNA from 1 species